CCCCUCCCCCGAGCCCGGAAUGGAUCCGUCCCGGAAAUAAAUAAAUAAAUAAACCCGCGGCUGCUCCGGGUGUGUGCUGCGCGCACCUGAGGCCGACCUGUGAUUCACCGCGGGAGGGAUGGCCGUUGACAACGCUCUAGGGAAGUCCACAGUGACUCCUCUGCCGGGACGCCGCUGGUUGUAUAGGAAAAGCACGCGGACGGGAAGCCACACUCACCGAAAACCUCAGUAUACUAAAUUGAUGAGUUUACAUCUGUUCUAUCAAUGACCACGGUGCACACCUGUUUUUCUUCAUGGCUGGCAACUACAGAUCUAGGUAUUCAAGAUCAAGAGGGAUAAUUACAUAUUAUAAGCUGCACGGAGAAGAGUAAUCAAGGUGGACAUGAACUUGUGCUAUACACGUUUUGGGUUGAAGAACUCUGUGUGGAAAGUAAAGAAGAAAAAAAUUAGGGAACAAGUAGUAGUUGAAUACAGCUAUGUGAAACUAUAAGAACUAUGUGAAAGAGGGUUUGGAUCCAAAGAUGAAAAGAGCUGACACAAGAGUGGAUUUUUUGAGAGCUGUUGGAGCAGAGAAAACUUGAAGGAGAUACAGUGAGUAGAACACAACCUCUAGGUGGUCUGAAAACCUGAGGACCUCAGUACCUCCCAACUCUCAUAUUCUCAAUAGUUUUUCUAGAAAAGCCCAUAACCUAUAACCUAUAAAGAUGGGGCAUAACCUAUAAAGAUGAUAGCAACUAAAACAGAUAUAUCAAUGACAUAAAAUGUU